CCUACGGGGGGCUGCAGUGGGGAAUAUUGGACAAUGGGGGGAACCCUGAUCCAGCCAUGCCGCGUGUGUGAAGAAGGCCCUCGGGUUGUAAAGCACUUUCAGUGAGGAAGAACGCCUGGUGGUUAAUACCCAUCAGGAAAGACAUCACUCACAGAAGAAGCACCGGCUAACUCCGUGCCAGCAGCCGCGGUAAUACGGAGGGUGCGAGCGUUAAUCGGAAUUACUGGGCGUAAAGCGCGCGUAGGUGGCUUGAUAAGCCGGUUGUGAAAGCCCCGGGCUCAACCUGGGAACGGCAUCCGGAACUGUCAAUCUAGAGUGCAGGAGAGGAAGGUAGAAUUCCCGGUGUAGCGGUGAAAUGCGUAGAGAUCGGGAGGAAUACCAGUGGCGAAGGCGGCCUUCUGGACUGACACUGACACUGAGGUGCGAAAGCGUGGGUAGCAAACAGGAUUAGAUACCCUAGUAGUC
rnacentral:rRNA from 1 species